rnacentral:rRNA from 1 species
CCUACGGGCGGCAGCAGUGAGGAAUAUUGGUCAAUGGACGAGAGUCUGAACCAGCCAAGUAGCGUGAAGGAUGACUGCCCUAUGGGUUGUAAACUUCUUUUAUAUGGGAAUAAAACGUUCCACGUGUGGGAUUUUGUAUGUACCAUAUGAAUAAGGAUCGGCUAACUCCGUGCCAGCAGCCGCGGUAAUACGGAGGAUCCGAGCGUUAUCCGGAUUUAUUGGGUUUAAAGGGAGCGUAGGUGGAUUGUUAAGUCAGUUGUGAAAGUUUGCGGCUCAACCGUAAAAUUGCAGUUGAAACUGGCAGUCUUGAGUACAGUAGAGGUGGGCGGAAUUCGUGGUGUAGCGGUGAAAUGCUUAGAUAUCACGAAGAACUCCGAUUGCGAAGGCAGUUCACUGGACUGCAACUGACACUGAGGCUCGAAAAUGUGGGUAUCAAACAGGAUUAGAUACCCCAGUAGUC